rnacentral:rRNA from 1 species
UACGAAGGGGGCUAGCGUUGUUCGGAAUUACUGGGCGUAAAGCGCGCGCAGGCGGUCUUCCAAGUCAGUGGUGAAAGCCCGGAGCUCAACUCCGGAACUGCCAUUGAAACUGUGAGACUUGAGGAUGAGAGAGGUGAGUGGAAUUCCCAGUGUAGAGGUGAAAUUCGUAGAUAUUGGGAAGAACACCGGUGGCGAAGGCGGCCUGCUGGGCAGUAGCUGACACUGAGGCGCGACAGCGUGGGGAGCAAACGGG